rnacentral:rRNA from 1 species
GACGAGCCUCACAAACGUUAUUCGGAAUUACUGGGCUUAAAGGGUGCGUAGGCGGCGCGGAAAGUUGGGUGUGAAAUCCCUCGGCUCAACCGAGGAACAGCGCUCAAAACUACCGUGCUCGAGGGAGAUAGAGGAAUGCGGAACUUACGGUGGAGCGGUGAAAUGCGUUGAUAUCGUAGGGAACACCGGUGGCGAAAGCGGCAUUCUGGAUCUCUUCUGACGCUGAUGCACGAAAGCUAGGGUAGCAAACGGGAUUAGAUACCCCCGU